GCCAAUAACAUAAUUACCUCUCUGCAUGUUUGAUUGCCAUUGACAAUGUUUUCUACCUUGAACCUUUAAACCAAAGAAAAGAGCACCCACAGAAAAUCAGUUUCUCAACUAGAGAUUCUUCCUCAAUCGAUAGCAAGCAAAUAUUAAGGAAGCAAAGCAGGAUCAAGUUCCCAACAGUCUUUCAAAAGAGCAGGGACUCAUCUCCAGAAAGCUUCCUUGCAGGAACCUGAUGUGAAAGCAGCCGGACAUCAUCUUUUUCAAGCCAUCUAAUAGCAUGACAUCCAACUUCCCGUCUCUUAAAUACAGUAUUGAAUCCGUCAACUUUCUCA
rnacentral:misc_RNA from 1 species